CAGACUCCUACGGGAGGCAGCAGUGGGGAAUAUUGCGCAAUGGGCGGAAGCCUGACGCAGCGACGCCGCGUGGGGGAUGACGGCCUUCGGGUUGUAAACCUCUUUCGACCUUGACGAAGCGUGAGUGACGGUAGGGGUAGAAGAAGCACCGGCCAACUACGUGCCAGCAGCCGCGGUAAUACGUAGGGUGCGAGCGUUGUCCGGAAUUAUUGGGCGUAAAGAGCUCGUAGGCGGUCCGUCGCGUCGGUCGUGAAAACCUGCAGCUUAACUGUGGGCUUGCGGUCGAUACGGGCAUGACUGGAGUUCGGCAGGGGAGACUGGAAUUCCUGGUGUAGCGGUGAAAUGCGCAGAUAUCAGGAGGAACACCGGUGGCGAAGGCGGGUCUCUGGGCCGAUACUGACGCUGAGGAGCGAAAGCGUGGGGAGCAAACAGGAUUAGAUACCCUGGUAGUCCACGCCGUAAACGGUGGGCGCUAGGUGUGGGGGCCAUUCCACGGUCUCUGUGCCGCAGCUAACGCAUUAAGCGCCCCGCCUGGGGAGUACGGCCGCAAGGCUAAAACUCAAAGGAAUUGACGGAAUCGAAUU
rnacentral:rRNA from 1 species